rnacentral:snRNA from 1 species
UGAACAAAGUGGGUGGAAUGUU